UUUUUUUUAAUCAAAAUGCAAGUAUUAAGUAAUACCCAAACAAACCCUAAAUCAGUUUUCUCCCAAACACUCGUCUCUCUCUUCCUUUCCUUCUCCUUCUUCCUCUCCUUAUUUCUUUCCUAUCUCUAUCUUGAUCUAAUCCUCCCCACACUCUUCCGGCGUCGCACCCACCAUCACCCGGCGUCGCACCACCAUCUUCUCAACCUUUCACUCCCCUUAUUUCGGCGGCUUCAAAUAACAACACCACCAGUAGGCAACGAUGCUUACUGCUCGAAGCGGCGAAGCAGUAGCACCGCCACGAAAAAUUGGCUACACACGAUAGUGCCUUGCUGCAGACAGCGUUGCUACGCGCAGUGAGAUGGUGCUACUACACAGUGAGGCCUCGAUUUUUUUUUAGAGUUUUUUUUAAUCGAUCUACUGUGGGAGGUUUUUUGUUGAUGAAUUUUCAAUUAAAUUUACUUCAAUGGCUUUUUGGUAGCUGUGGUGGUGGUGGUUAAAGUUGGCUAGGCUUUUGGUGGUGAUGCAGGUCACGAUAAUGUGGUGGUGCUGGUAGAUCUAGCCGUUUGGGGUUUUGUUGAAUUUGGCCGGUGGCAGGAGGCGGUGAAGGUUGUGUGUUUGUGUCGUUUUUGUUGGUGGUGGUGGUUGUGGGGAUUGUAUGGUAGAGGCGGGGUGAGAUAAUGUUUGUGACCGACUAUUUGGUUGAUCUGUGAUCACGUAUUGGUGGUGAUCGAAUCCAGGAUGGAAUGUUUGAUGUAUGUGACCAAACUAUUUGGUUGUGUUUUGCUGGUGGUAGUAGUGUUGACUUUGGCGGUGAGGUUAGGUGACGAUUGUGGUGCCAAUUUUGGGCUACAGCGACGGUUGUGUGGUGGUAAAUUGUGACCAAGAUUGGUGUUGGAUCAGCACGGUGGUGGGGAUGUUUGGUGCGUGUGACCAACUAUUUGGAUUAAUUAUUAAUCUGUGAUCAAUAAAUUUGAAAAUAUUUGACCCAUAAAUAAAUCGUGACCAGUAAUUUGAAUUAUCUAUGACCUGUAAAAAAUUUUAUUUGUGAUCACGAAAUAAUCCGUGAUCAAUUAAUUUGAUGAUAUGUG
rnacentral:lncRNA from 1 species